CUACCCCACACAGUCCUUUGCGAUUUUCCUCUCCCACUUUGGGAGCCAGUGGAUGAAGAGGGUGGAACCAUAGAAUAGAAGGAACCCAGAUACAGAUCACUGUUCAGAGGAGAGCUGCCUGCCAGUCAGGAAGACCCAUUUUGGACUUUAUAAAUGCUCUGACCUUAAAAGGAAUAUUGGAGGCAGGAGGAAACAGAGGAAGCAAGAAGAAUUUCCUGGAAGGUAAUUAUUGUAAUAUAAGCAUACUUCGGAGAUAUUGCAGGUUCCGUUCCAGACCACUGCAACAGUGAAUAUCUCAAUCAAGAAGAUGACCACGGCCCCUCUGUUCCCUCGCCUGUGUGCCAAAUGGAUCCACAGCUAGAGACAAGCUCCUUCCCUUUGAACGGUGGGAAGCAGGCCAAGAUGUUUUAAAGACAGAUGGCAUCAGAUGCAGAGAAGCAAGCUGGAACUCGGAGCACAGCUGCCUUAUUUACUUACCUACUGGCUGCAUUUCUGAGAACCAGUUUUAUUCCUGUUCAAAGGAAGCCAGGCAGAGUUGGGAAAAUAUUUUCCUAGCCAGCUCCUUAGCACCACUGUCUGAGGGAAACCAUCUGGCCAAGAUGCCCUUCAACAUCACCGAGAACUACUGCCAUCAGCUAUAUAAUGAAACUAUUUUUAAGCAACAACAACAGCAGCAGAGAAGAGGGACCAACAGGGUCCAAUGCAUCAGAGGGGUCCAAACUGGUAAGCACUGAAAAAUAUCUAUUGAAUCGGACAAUUAGGAGGACUAACCUCCUCAAGAGUAAGUUCCUGCAGUUUGCUGGAUAAAGGGCAUCAGAGCGCCGUGGGUUGGGUUGAGGACAUCUUCUCCCUUACAGCCUCCUGGUUCUUCUCUCAGAAAAACUUCUCCUCCUUCCCAGCUCAAUCCUAUUUAUUUAUUUUAAAAUUUAUUGUGUAUAUUUAAGGUAUACAACAUGCUGUUAUAGGAUACACAUAGUUAGUAAAAUAUUUACUAUAGCAAAGCAAAUGAACAUCUCUGUCGUCUCCGCACAGUUACCCAUUUUUGUUGCUUUUGUGGCAAGAGCAGCUACAAUCUAGUCAUUUAGUAGGAAUCCCAAGUACAGUGCGAUUUUAUGACCUACAACCAUCAUGGUGUACAUUAGAUCUCUCCACACACCUGUUACAUUGUAUCCUCUGACCUACGUCUUCCCAUUUCUUCCUCCCAUUCCUCCCCAGCCUGCUUCCACCCCAGUAACUGCUGUUUUAUUAUCUGCGUCUGCACAUUUGAUUUUGUUUUUAGAUUCCACAUGUAAGUGACAUCAUGCACUAUUUUUUUUUCCUGUCUGACGCAUUUCACUCAGCAUAGUGUCUUCCAGGUUAAUCCAUGUUGUGCCAAACGACAGGACCUUCUUUUUAAAGGCUGAAUAAUAUUCCAUUGUAUACAGAUGCCACAGUUUUUUAAAUCCAUUCCUCCAUCGACACUUGGGUGGUUCCAUAUCUUGACUAUUGUGAAGAAUGCUGCGUGAAAAUAGAAGUGCAGCCUGAGCUUUUGCUGCGAUCUCCAAAAAAUCAUUGCCAG
rnacentral:lncRNA from 1 species